GCAGUAAGGAAUAUUGGGCAAUGGACGCAAGUCUGACCCAGCCAUGCCGCGUGCAGGAAGACAGCCCUAUGGGUUGUAAACUGCUUUUGUCAGGGAAUAAACCCCCGGAUGUAUCCGGGGCUGAAUGUACCUGAAGAAUAAGCAUCGGCUAACUCCGUGCCAGCAGCCGCGGUAAUACGGAGGAUGCGAGCGUUAUCCGGAUUCAUUGGGUUUAAAGGGUGCGCAGGCGGAUUAUUAAGUCAGUGGUGAAAUCCUACAGCUCAACUGUAGAACUGCCAUUGAUACUGAUAAUCUUGAGUGUAUAUGAAGUGGGCGGAAUGUAGCAUGUAGCGGUGAAAUGCAUAGAUAUGCUACAGAACACCAAUUGCGAAGGCAGCUCACUAAACUACAACUGACGCUCAUGCACGAAAGCGUGGGGAUCAAACAGGAUUAGAUACCCUGGUAGUCCACGCUGUAAACGAUGAUUACUCGUUGUUGGCGACACACAGUCAGCGACCAAGCGAAAGUGAUAAGUAUCC
rnacentral:rRNA from 1 species